UCUUUCAUUUCAGAUGUAUAUGUCAUCUUGUAGAACAGCAUUCCAAACCCUUGACAGUUUCUGUAUAUAAUUCCCACUUUUGAAGAAUGUCUUGCACAACCUCAAUAGACUACAUUUCUUUACCUCUUGGGAAAACAAAACCGAACAAUGACGACACGACAACAAAACCCGGACUGGUUAAUUUCUUCUGUAGUCCUGUCAACCACAGAGUCCAAGGAUGUGGAAGUAAAAGAGGUCAUACGAAUGUCCCGGUGAGAGCAGGAAUAGGCAUAUAAAGAACUUGAAAAUCAUAUUGAUUGAGGAAAUGAAAACGCACCAGUGAAAAGUGUCAACACUUUCCAGGAUCCAGGCAGCAAAGGACAACAGUGGGGGCAGGACCAUGGAGUCAAAUUCUGGAAAAUGGAUUUUUGUUUCACAACAUCAAAAAGAAAAAACAUGGAGUUCAAAAAAUAAAAUAAGCAAAGACUGUGCAUGAAGUUUUUGAAUUCAAAAACACUUUCAAUUUUGAAUCUAUAGAAUACUAAACACCUCUGAAGAAAAUCUCUUCCCACAGGGCAUCCUAAGAUCCUAGGUGAAAAAUUCAAGUAGUUGUCCAUGGCCAUCUUGUCAAGUACCUAGAUGAUUAACUCUGUUUCUCACUUUUCUUCAGGACAUUGCACUGUGUACUCACAGUCAAGCUUGGAACUGUGAUCAGUAGGCAGGUAUAAAAUAAUGAAGAUACUAAUUUGAGAUUGGAGAU